rnacentral:piRNA from 1 species
UCAAGGUGACUUAGGGUGACAAGU